AUUUUCUUAGUAUAAAUAAUACACUUGGCUUCCAACCACCUAACCCCGGCUAGAUCCGGGAGAAAAUA
rnacentral:tRNA from 1 species